GACGAACGCUGGCGGCGUGCCUAACACAUGCAAGUCGAGCGAACAGACGAGGUCCUUUUUCGUCUGAGGGUAUCGGCGGACGGCGGAGUAAUACCGGGUUAGCCUACCUAUAAGACUUUGUUGAUAACGGCAAACCAGGGCUACUAACACAUGAUAUAUUGAGCCUCUUGGUUCAAGCGUUUGAGAAGGUUUUUGUUUCGGUUAUGGAUGGGCCCGCGCCGGAUUAGCUGGUUGGUAAGGUGAGGGCUUACCAAGGCGAGGAUGCGUAGCCGCCCUGAGAGGGUGGUGGGACACACUGGAACGGAGGAACGGUCGAGAAUCCUACGGGGGGCAGCAGCAGGGAAUCUUCCGCAAUGAGGGAAGGCCGAACGGAGCAACGCCGCGGGAGUGCUGAAGGUCUUCGGAUCGUAGAGCUCUGUUAUUAGGGAAGAAGAAAUGUGUAAUUAACUAUGCACGUAUUGACGGUACCUGAACAAAAAGCCCCGGCUAACUACGUG
rnacentral:rRNA from 1 species